rnacentral:lncRNA from 1 species
AGAGGAAAUCAAUGGAGAAGAGCAAGCAGUGGCAAAUAUGGAAAGUAUGGAGAUGAUGGUUUUUAGUGCUUCUCCAAACAAGACAGAGAGUAAUAGGGAAAUAUAAAAAUCUUCAAAAAAGCAACAUACUCGGUCAUCAUCUUCAUCUUCGCCGUAAGCAAAAAUCUUAGUGAAUAAUUCAAAUGAAGGUGAUGAUGUACCUGAGGGGGCC